GAGCUUUCCUCUGGCUGUAUUUGCACAGCUACCGAAGCUACAAUUCCUGGAUCUCAGAUCAAACAAUAUACAAGAGCUCCCAUACUUCAAUAUGAAAGACACGAUAAUAGAUCUCAGUGACAA